rnacentral:rRNA from 1 species
GACGAACGCUGGCGGCGUGCUUAACACAUGCAAGUCGAACGAAGAGCGAUGGAAGCUUGCUUCUAUCAAUCUUAGUGGCGAACGGGUGAGUAACGCGUAAUCAACCUGCCCUUCAGAGGGGGACAACAGUUGGAAACGACUGCUAAUACCGCAUACGAUCUAAUCUCGGCAUCGAGGAUAGAUGAAAGGUGGCCUCUACAUGUAAGCUAUCACUGAAGGAGGGGAUUGCGUCUGAUUAGCUAGUUGGAGGGGUAACGGCCCACCAAGGCGAGGAUCAGUAGCCGGUCUGAGAGGAUGAACGGCCACAUUGGGACUGAGACACGGCCCAGACCCCUACGGGAGGCAGCAGGGGGGAAUCUUCCGCAAUGGAAGAAAGUCUGACGGAGCAACGCCGCGUGAGUGAUGACGGCCGUCGGGUUGUAAAGCUCUGUUAAUCGGGACGAAAGGCCUUCUUGCGAAUAGUGAGAAGGAUUGACGGUACCGGAAUAGAAAGCCACGGCUAACUACGUG